rnacentral:rRNA from 1 species
UGAGGAAUAUUGGUCAAUGGACGGAAGUCUGAACCAGCCAAGUAGCGUGCAGGAUGACGGCCCUAUGGGUUGUAAACUGCUUUUGUAUGGGGAUAAAGUUAGGGACGUGUCCCUAUUUGCAGGUACCAUACGAAUAAGGACCGGCUAAUUCCGUGCCAGCAGCCGCGGUAAUACGGAAGGUCCAGGCGUUAUCCGGAUUUAUUGGGUUUAAAGGGAGCGUAGGCUGGAGAUUAAGUGUGUUGUGAAAUGUAGACGCUCAACGUCUGAAUUGCAGCGCAUACUGGUUUCCUUGAGUACGCACAACGUUGGCGGAAUUCGUCGUGUAGCGGUGAAAUGCUUAGAUAUGACGAAGAACUCCGAUUGCGAAGGCAGCUGACGGGAGCGCAACUGACGCUUAAGCUCGAAGGUGCGGGUAUCAAACAGGAUUAGAUACCCUGGUAGUCCGCACAGUAAACGAUGGAUGCCCGCUGUUGGUACCUGGUAUCAGCGGCUAAGCGAAAGCAUUAAGCAUCCCACCUGGGGAGUACGCCGGCAACGGU